rnacentral:rRNA from 1 species
AUUGAACGCUGGCGGCAUGCCUUACACAUGCAAGUCGAACGGCAGCGCGGACUUCGGUCUGGCGGCGAGUGGCGAACGGGUGAGUAAUACAUCGGAACGUACCCUGUUGUGGGGGAUAACUAGUCGAAAGAUUAGCUAAUACCGCAUACGACCUGAGGGUGAAAGUGGGGGACCGGAAACGGCCUCAUGCAGCAGGAGCGGCCGAUGUCUGAUUAGCUAGUUGGUGGGGUAAAGGCCCACCAAGGCGACGAUCAGUAGCUGGUCUGAGAGGACGAUCAGCCACACUGGGACUGAGGCACGGCCCAGACUCCUACGGGAGGCAGCAGUGGGGAAUUUUGGACAAUGGGGGCAACCCUGAUCCAGCAAUGCCGCGUGUGUGAAGAAGGCCUUCGGGUUGUAAAGCACUUUUGUCCGGAAAGAAAUCGCGCUGGUUAAUACCUGGCGUGGAUGACGGUACCGGAAGAAUAAGCACCGGCUAACUACGUG